AUAGAAGCAACGGACAACUGGAUCUUCAGUAAUACAGAGAGGCAUGGUGGAAACUUGGCACGUGGUUCUGAACACUACAAAUCAAAGAUUUCCAGUCCUCUGAAGAUAUGGGGAGAGUGGCAGUCCUCUCAGCAGUUUGGCAAAAUAAGAGCAACCUUCGGCAGGCUCAAAAUAAAUGUUAUGAAUAGCUGGAUUCUCGAGUUUGGUCAUACCUUUCCCUGAUAUUGCUUGCAACUCUUGGAUUUAGUUGUCAGCUUUAUGAGCUAGUAAAUUGUUGAGCAGUCUUUUCAGACAGCUAUUUAGGCUGACAAAAGCAGCCACUUUAUUGAGAAAGUACCUCCAUCUUGUAUGACAUAAAGAGAGAGACGUCUUUUUUCUAUAAAAACCUAGGAAGCAUGUGUGUGCCCUGCAAGUGCUUAUCUGAUCUCUAUGUCUCAUUGCACAACUAACCAACACUUGCCUUGGUUAGUUAUCUCCAAUGAGUAUAAUUAUUAAUAGAAACUCAAAAAAUAGCAUUUAGAGCAUGCUUAUCAGCAUCUUCAACAGCCUGAUAAGUUGGCAAGCAACAAAAUGACUUAGGGAAAGUUGUUCAUCCACAGUACCUUUAAAAAUAAAUGCAGGGUUUGUAAUAAACACUGUUGAUUUAUUUUUAUCUCUUAUCUUGAGCAGUUCCUUGCUAUGAAUAAGCAAUGAAACAGCAAGCCACUGAGCAACACUACUGGAAAAGAAAGCUUGAGAGCAACGUCAGAGCUUGUGGAUCUUAUUCCAUGCUCAUACACACAGAGAAAAUAAAUUGAUCAAAUUUACUUCACUUCUCCACUAUUCUGUUCCCUAUACAGCUGCUGAUACAGAAUAUUGGUUUGCAGAAGGAACAGAUAAAACUACAUCUGCCCUUGGUCUCUGGAAAUGAGAAGGAAAAAGGCAUGUGCAAAUCCGUUGCUUAAGCAAAAAAAACUGUUUCAUGCACAAGUUGAUAUUUUUCGAUGUGUCUUUUCUGCAGGAUUCAGGCAUGGCCAGCAAGGAAAAUUAGCACCAUAACUGAUUUAUUCAUUUCUAUUAAGUUGUUCUCUACAGAAUUAUAAUCACUGGGAAGAUAUAGUUACUUGCAGAGCUGAUUUGUUUAAUCCACUCAAAAGUACUUGGGGAAAAAAGCAUUUUUUCAUUCCUCUGAUUCCAAAGUGAGCUUAAAAAUUGGUAUUUACCUUUCAACUUCUUAAAUUCAGGCUAGAUGGAUUCCACCCUACGUUACCCCUAUUCAGGACAUUGAGCUCAAGGGUUAUAACAACUUCCAAACAGCUUCUAAGCGAAGGAAGAACACAGAAGAUAUUGUAACACAGAAUUGAAUUUCCAGUUAACAAAGUAAUUGGUUUUCCACAGCCUUGCAGUUAGGCAAGAAGCCCUUAGUCAGUGACUACAAAGCCAUUAACUGAUUCAUCCCAACCUCAACAAGUGCCUCGUCCUGGCAGAAGUGAGAACAACUGUGAAGAAGGAACAGUUAUAGGGCUCCGUCCAAAAUAUUGCCUUUCACAGGAUUUCAGCUGAGUACGGUUUCACCUCUGUAUUGAUUUGAUUCAUCAGCCUAGUGGUAGUAUCUCAAUAUAAAAAUAGGAACAGUGAUGAUGUCACCAGAGGCCUGAAGCUACCCACAUUGCAUGGUAGUAAGUUGUGUUGCCACGACUAAGAGCAGAAGUAUUCUCUUCCUAUUUCUUCAAGAGGAUCUAGAAUAUGAAGUAUUUUGAUGUAAUACUUUGUAUAAAUCCAUUUAUCUUUCUGCUAUAGGCAAUGAGUAGUCUUGAGACAGAUGGAAGGAAAAGCCACCCUUGUGUUCGCAUCUAUCUCAGUAGAGCUUGUAAAACAUGCUUCUUUUCACUGUUUCCCAGGAAUUCUUCACUGCAGGAAGCAACACCCAGUUGCGAAGGUCUCCUUGUGUUGCUAGAGAAUGCCUUCACUUCACUUCCACCUUUUCUCUGCUAUCUGAACUCCUAUGACGAAUUUCAGUUUCAUUUACACACUCACAAAGAUCUCUUAAAGAAUAAUAAAUGAAAUAAAGAAAAUGAUGACAAGAUCGGGAUCACUUUGCUUGAAAAGCUAGAAGGAAACAAGCCUAUUGAAAUGUAUGUAUUCAAGCAGCUUGUAAAUAAAUACAGAUAAGCUCUG
ensembl:lncRNA